rnacentral:tRNA from 1 species
AAGGGUUUAUCUCAGUGGUAGAGUGCAUGCUUGGCACACAUGAGGUCCUGGGGUCGAUCCCCAGUACCUCCA